rnacentral:lncRNA from 1 species
AUGGCUACGAUACAUAAGCCAAGGUCAUUGUUUGUUAUGAUUGUAGCUGUGCUGAGCCUUUUUUUUUUUUUUUUUUUUUUUUAAACCAACAGCUGUUGCGUAUCAGUGAAAUUAAAUCGUUUCAGGCAGAUAUAAAAUAUAGGAUUAUUCUAAUUCAGACAAAUGACAGGAACGAGAACACUGGGACAAAGGACUUGCUUAUACAAGAUAUGGGACCACAUUUUCCAGAUAGUAGAAUUCACUAAAACAAACAAAAGACAUUUUUUCAUACUUCCAAGGUUUACUGGUGCAGCAAUAGUAAGAAUAGUGUCUGAACAGGAAACACUCACAAAAGCAUCAGUGUCCCCACCUUUGCAGCCUACUGAAGUGUCCUCAACUCUUUUAUGCACUCAUCUAUAAAAUUGAAAAACUUCUUCCUCUACGUAAUUGUUAAGAAAGAAACACAAGCUUUGUUUUCAAACUCCAUCCCCUUUUUUGAUGGAUUAUGUCACCAAAUUUGUUGUGAAUUCAAGUAAGACAUCAGAGAUGCAGUGAGCUAGAAAACGGAUGUUGGCCAUCAGACUUUGCUAGGCAGAAAGGAAAAACAUUUUUUUAAAAAGAAGCAUACAAAACAAAACAAAACAACACAAUUAGGAAGAAAAAAGAUUCGACUAGAACCAAGAAAUACGAACCAAAAUGUUCUUGAAGUGAACUGGUGCCACUGCUUGACAGGACUAACUGACUGAAUUUAAGAGAUUGGACUGUGCGCUUAGUCACAUGGUCUGAACUUUUGGGUAGACCUGUGCGGUGUCAAGAGUUGGACUUGAUGAUCCUUAAGGGUCCCUUCCAACUCAGGAUAUUCUAUGAUUCUAUGAUUCUAUGAAGUGAAUGCUGCAAAUGUUAGCUGAAUGAUUUUUAACUACUAAGGAAGGUGCUUUUUGGUGUGUGUGGGGAUGGACGGAUGGACAAUGAUGACACCGUCGCCUAGCUCUCCCGCUACUCUGUAAGCUAUUACCUUCAAGAAUAAGGAAAAUAAAACUGAACGAUGAGUUGGCCGGUCUGUUAAUUUCUGUCUUACGGGGGAAGCAGGAGGAUUUUGUGUAACUGAGGUUCAGCCUCAGCAGUAACUUAAUGGAUUAUCCAGACACCUACACCCGACUGAGGUUAAAGGAAAGGUCAGAAAGGUUGCAUUUUUAAAAAAAAUUGAAGCACGGGUACGCUUUUAGGGAAAGAACACCUCUGGAGAGAGCGGGGGGCAGGGCCGGCAGCACAGGACGCAGCCGGGACGCUACCGGCACCGAGCUGCGCCGGGGGCAGCGCGCUGGGUGAGCGGCUUCACAGCGCCCAUCUCCCACCCCCGUGCCAGCCCCACACCCUCCCACACCCUCCCGCCUUCACCGAGCCGCGGGAGACCGAGAGGAG